rnacentral:rRNA from 1 species
UGGGGAAUAUUGCACAAUGGGCGCAAGCCUGAUGCAGCCAUGCCGCGUGUAUGAAGAAGGCCUUCGGGUUGUAAAGUACUUUCAGCGGGGAGGAAGGGAGUAAAGUUAAUACCUUUGCUCAUUGACGUUACCCGCAGAAGAAGCACCGGCUAACUCCGUGCCAGCAGCCGCGGUAAUACGGAGGGUGCAAGCGUUAAUCGGAAUUACUGGGCGUAAAGCGCACGCAGGCGGUUGAUUGAGUCAGAUGUGAAAUCCCCGGGCUUAACCCGGGAAUUGCAUCUGAUACUGGUUAGCUAGAGUCUUGUAGAGGGGGGUAGAAUUCCAUGUGUAGCGGUGAAAUGCGUAGAGAUGUGGAGGAAUACCGGUGGCGAAGGCGGCCCCCUGGACAAAGACUGACGCUCAGGUGCGAAAGCGUGGGGAGCAAACAGG